ANGGGUANUAGCNAGUAGGGUUCACAUGGCNUUACUGGGCGAAGCACAAGUGCUAAAGUACCCCGCAUGGGGAGUAUGGUUNGCAAGGCUGAAACNCNAAGNCAUUGACGGGGGCUCACACANCCGGUGGAGCAUGUGGCUUAAUUUGAGGCUACGCGAAGAACCUUAUCCCUAGACUUGACAUGUGCGAUAAGCGGUGGCCCGGUAACUCCCGGAAACGGGGUGUGAUUCCUCGCCAAGAGGAGGACCCACUACAGGUGCUGCAUGGCCUGUCGUCAGCUCGUGUCGUGAGAUGUCGGGUUAAGUCCCAUAACGAGCGAAACCCUUACCUUUAGUUACUACGGGUCAUGCCGAGGACUCUAAAGGGACUGCCGGUGUCAAANCCGGAGGAAGGCCGGGGAUGACGUCAAGUCCUCAUGGCCUUUACGUCUAGGGCUGCACACGUGCUACAAUGGCGUGAACAAAGGGAAGCCAAGGCGCGAGCCGGAGCAAAUCCCAAAAAACACGCCCCAGUUCAGAUCGAGGGCUGCAACUCGCCCUCGUGAAGUUGGAAUCGCUAGUAAUCGCGGGUCAGCGACACCGCGGUGAAUGUGUUCCUGAGCCUUGUACACACCGCCCGUCAAGCCACGAAAGAGAGGGACGUCCGAAGUCGCCUCACGGCGCCGAAGACGGACUUCUUGAUUGGGANCUAAGUCGUAANCAAGGUACC
rnacentral:rRNA from 1 species